rnacentral:rRNA from 1 species
GCAAGUCGAACGCUGAUUUGUGGGUAGCAAUAUUUGCAAAUCGGAGUGGCGCAAGGGUGCGUAACACGUGGGCAAUCUGCCGUGAAGCCUGGAAUAACUCGCUGAAAGGCGAGCUAAUACCGGAUGUGAAUUUUGGGGGGCCUCCUCUGACAUUCAAAGCUGGGGACCGCAAGGCCUGGCACUUCACGAUGAGCCCGCGGCCUAUCAGCCAGUUGGUGAGGUAACGGCUCACCAAGGCUAAGACGGGUAGCUGGUCUGAGAGGACGACCAGCCUCACUGGAACUGAGACACGGUCCAGACACCUACGGGUGGCAGCAGUCGAGAAUUUUUCUCAAUGGGCGAAAGCCUGAAGGAGCGACGCCGCGUGGGGGAUGAAUGGCUUCGGCCCGUAAACCCCUGUCAUUUGCGAACAAAUGGUUUUACCUAACACGUAAAGCCUUGAUAGUAGCGGAAGAGGAAGGGACGGCUAACUCUGUGCCAGCAGCCGCGGUAAUACAGAGGUCCCAAGCGUUGUUCGGAUUCACUGGGCGUAAAGGGUGCGUAGGCGGCCGGGUAAGUCUGAUGUGAAAUCCCGCAGCUCAACUGCGGAACGGCAUUGGAUACUAUUCGGCUCGAGGAAUGGAGGGGAGACUGGAAUACUUGGUGUAGCAGUGAAAUGCGUAGAUAUCAAGUGG